rfam:Oleiphilus sp. HI0009 HI0009_c524, whole genome shotgun sequence.
GGGCCUUUAGCUCAGUUGGUUAGAGCACCCGACUCAUAAUCGGUAGGUCCCCAGUUCAAGUCUGGGAAGGCCCA